rnacentral:rRNA from 1 species
UGCGCAGGCGGUUUUGUAAGAUAGAUGUGAAAUCCCCGGGCUCAACCUGGGAACUGCAUUUGAAACUGGGGAACUAGAGUGUGUGAGAGGGGGGUAGAAUUCCAAGUGUAGCGGUGAAAUGCGUAGAGAUUUGGAGGAAUACCAGUGGCGAAGGCGGCCCCCUGGCACAACACUGACGCUCAGGUGCGAAAGCGUGGGGAGCAAACAGGAUUAGAUACCCGAGUA